rnacentral:rRNA from 1 species
UACGUAGGGGGCUAGCGUUGUCCGGAAUCAUUGGGCGUAAAGAGCGUGUAGGCGGCUUGGUAAGUCCGCUGUGAAAGUCCAGGGCUUAACCCUGGAAAGCCAGUGGAAACUGUCAAGCUAGAGUCCGGAAGAGGUGAGUGGAACUCCUGGUGUAGCGGUGAAAUGCGCAGAUAUCAGGAAGAACACCAAUGGCGAAGGCAGCUCACUGGGACGGUACUGACGCUGAGGAGCGAAAGCGUGGGGAGCGAACAGG